rnacentral:rRNA from 1 species
CACGUAGGGAGCAAGCGUUGUCCGGAUUUAUUGGGCGUAAAGAGCUCGUAGGCGGCUCAGUAAGUCAGGUGUGAAACCUCCAGGCUCAACCUGGAGAUGCCACCUGAUACUGCUGUGGCUAGAGUCCGGUAGGGGAGCGUGGAAUUCCUGGUGUAGCGGUGAAAUGCGUAGAGAUGUGGAGGAACACCGAUGGCGAAGGCAGCCCCCUGGGUCAAGAUUGACGCUCAUGCACGAAAGCGUGGGGAGCAAACAGG